rnacentral:lncRNA from 1 species
UCACCCUUCCCUGCCAUUCCCUCCGCUUGGAAGUCCCUUCUGACUCAUCCCUCAAAGUCCACCUCAAAGGUCACUUGCUCUGGGAGACACCUGCUCAGGUCUCCCACCCCUGAGGUUCCAGCCCCUCCCCCACCCAUGCUCCUGGCUGACUUUGUGUACUGUGGCCCACGGCUUGCUGCCCUGGAAAUGGGCUCCAGAGCAGGACCUGAAUGGGUUCAGUUGGGUUUCUGGUCCCGCAGGACAUGGCGUACAGUAGGUCUUGUCACAGGCUGGCCUCCUAUGUGCAGCACAUUGACUGAAGGCCCCCGUUCUCCACCAGAGCAGACAAGCAUUUGCGUGCCCACGUGUGUGGCAGCAGCCUGGGCUGUUUCUGGCUCUGCCUUUACCCUGCUGUUCAUCCACUCUGGCCCCAGCUUUUUGGUGGUAUAUCCAGAGUGGGGGAUCCCAGAGGAGCAAUGAGAUCAUGCCCAGCGAGGGCUUGGAGAUCCUCAGAGAAAGGCGCCUCUAUAAAUGCAGGUGUGAUUAACCCUGUUGGCACCCAUUUGGUGUUUUAAUUGCCCCACCAACGCCCGGCUGAGCACCCACAGCUGGGUUCCCAGGGUUGGGAGCUGGCAAGGUGGGUGGGGCCAAGAGGGGCCUUCUCCAAGGUUCACAGUAGUCAUUGUGAGCAGGGCCUGAGGCUGCGCUGACCUCCCCAGCCUCUCUGCAGCCCUCUUGCCACAGGCCUGAAGGUGCUGACUACAGCUCAGUCCCCAAAGACACUAUAAGUUGCGUGUCCUGUCCUUAGCCUUAACUUCCUGAGGGCAGAAAAACUAUGCGCAACAUUAACUUCCAGAGGCCUUUACUUCAACCCACACAUGAACCUACAGGGAGCCGUUUUACUGGCAGAAACAGGGCCAGGUGACUGGAUACCCAGCCUGCCUUCUGGGAGCUCAGAGCCUGUGGGGUUAUGGAGUACACAAGAAACCAGGACAUCUGUUAGGAUGGUUAAGAGUGAAGAACAGAGCUCCAAGGGGCUGAGGGGGGAUGGGUACACAGGCCGGGGGAACGGGUGGUUUAGGUGCACGAAGACCACUGGAAUAGAAGGGCUCUGGCCCAGAUCUAAGCUAGAGAGGCAGAGCUGGGGAGUUAGCAGUGGGGGAAGAGAAGGCAGUACGUGGUGUGCUCAGGUGUUAUUCAGUCAUCAAGUCGUGUCUGACUCUUCCUGA